AGAAAACAGAAUGGAUAGAAAACUAACGCUGUAGCAGCACAAUUUGGAUGUCACCAGACCAUUUCUCCUAAUCAUUGACCCUACCCUCAGAAAUCCAGAAUUAGAAGGCAGAAAAUUGUGGUCUUUAAUAUCCUCAGGAGAGACCUCAAUGUGACAUAACAACACUAAGAGACGUCUUAUUGAAAGGCAAUGGGAUUUAUGAAUAAUCAAACAG